GCUUUCCUGUGGCUUAGUCAGUAGAUCAUUGGGCUAGAAACGCAAAGGCUGUGGGUUCAAACCCAAUGGAAAGCA